rnacentral:rRNA from 1 species
GUUAUGCGGAAUUACUGGGCUUAAAGAGUUCGUAGGCGGCAUGAAAAGCAGGGUGUGAAAGCCCUCGGCUCAACCGAGGAAUUGCGCUCUGAACUGUCGUGCUUGAGGAACCUAGAGGUGAGCAGAACAGAUGGUGGAGCGGUGAAAUGCGUUGAUAUCAUCUGGAAUACCGGAGGCGAAGGCGGCUCACUGGGGGUUUUCUGACGCUGAGGAACGAAAGCCAGGGUAGCGAACGGG